GGAGGAGUUAGGAAUACAAAUUAGUAAAAAUUACCUCAAGAAGAUGAAAGUUGAUACCCGAAGAGGACCGGUUAUGAACCUAGAUUGAAAUCAGACCCUGAGGCACAAAACCACACUCUGACGGUGACUCAAGGACUCUUUGGCAAAUUGGAGAGUGGUAUUUGAUAGAAGAUUGGAUAGGGUUUCUAUGGAUGUUGGUUUUGGGUGAUUUGGAUCUGUAUUGACUUUGUAAUAGCUUUGCAAAGUCAAGGUUUGUUUCAGAUGACUUAGGUUUUAUGAAAUAAAAUAGGGUUUACAUUUUGGGUGAUUUCAAGAGUUUUGUUAUAGAUCUACGAGUGAAAUUUUGUGGAUUUAUUUUUAUAGUUUUUUUCAAUGUGUUUUGUGAAUUUGAGCUCGAUCUAAUGGUUGAAUUGAAGGAUAUUGAGGUUUAAGCGGGUCAAGGUCAUAGAAAGUAGAAUUUUAGGUCUAGUAAGGAUUUUUAAGAUUUCUUGCAAUAUGCUAGUUGGAUUGGAGUGAAACUUGUGUGAGAGGAUAUUAGACUUGUUUUUCUAUGGGUAUGAGAAUUUUGAAAUCAAUCGAAUGGUUCAAAGGAGAGAUAUUGGCUCUGGAAAAUUUGCAUCAAGAUUGGAAAACGAGGCCGGCCAAUAUCCAAGCACAUUUUUGAGGAUAUCGUCAAUUUAGUAACUCCGAUCUUUAUCGAUUUUUUUUGUGCUUAUUUUCAACUUAUUUUUUUAGAAGUGUGCAAAAUUUGAGUUAAGAUCAAUGGUUAAUUCAUUAGUUAUUGAGGUUUAAAUCUAUAGUAGGAAUUAUUAGGAUUUGGUAUAGGAUUUGGUUAGGAUUUGAUUUGGGGUUUAGGAUUUGGAUUAGGAUUUGGUAUAGGAUUUGGUUAGGAUUUGAUUUGGGGUUUAGGAUUUGGAUUAGGAUUUGAUUUAGGAUUUAGGAUUUGGUUAGGGUUUGGUUAGGAUUUAGGAUUUGAAUUAGGAUUUGGUUUAGGAUUCGAUUAGGGUUUGAUUUAGGAUUUAGAAUUUGGUUAGGGUUUGAUUUAGGGUUUAGGAUUUGGAUUAGGAUUUGAUUUAGGGUUUGGUUAGGAUUUGAUUUAAGAUUUAGGAUUUGGAUUAGGAUUUAGUUUAGGAUUUGGUUAGGAUUUGAUUUAGGAUUUAGGAUUUUAUUAGGAUUUAAGAUUCAAUUAUUUUGGCUUAAAAUUUGAAUGAAGUUCAAUAGGAUUUUAACUAGAAUUAAAUUAAGAUUGAAUUGAGAUGUAUUUGAAUGAAAUUUGUGUUCUUUCUAAUAUUUCUUUAAAAAUUCCUAUUAUUUGUUUGAAAUUUCUUUGAGUUUUUUUUUUGAAUUUGAUUAAGCUUACUUAGUAUUAUUAUAGUCUAAUUAGAAUAUUAUUAGUAUUCUAUUAGAAUUAGGGUUUUGUUAUUAUAAUAUCUAUUCUUCUUUCCACAGUCAGGUGCCCGGAGCAUUCUCAAGCAAGACUUCACGUAUUACGACAACGCUAUGAAUAUUUUGAAUGGCUGAUUUUAUCCUUUGGCUUCACCAAUAUUCCAUCUUUUUUUUAUGGAUCACAUAAAUAGAUUAUUUCAAGA
rnacentral:lncRNA from 1 species